ensembl:lncRNA
CCGUGACCAGGCCUUAUGACAAUAUGACACAGAGAUCAUUGAACACUAACUAAUAUUAAAUAAGUGUUAUGUAGCCUUUUAUGAUUCUUUAAACAUAAAUACUCUUUAAAAAUAUUGUGUUUAAUGUCACAUUAUUUAUUUGUCACAAAGGUGCAUUCGGUAGUUCUUAAGCUAGCAUUAGCAUCGCUGUUCUUCGUGUACUUUACCCAUACCACAGCAUGAAUGUCUCUGUUUAGGUUACACUGGUUUUAUUGGACAGACUACACAAUAUUUAUUUCACUUACUCGUCCAAUAAAAAUCAAUCUGGGCGUCACUGCUGAGCAUUUUCUUCCUCAUCACAUCUUUCCACCUUGUGUAUGCAGCCGUACUGAUGUUUACGCUUGUUUUUGUCUCUUUACGGCCAUGGUGUGUAAAGCAGAAGCAGCCUGGCCAGCGGCGGAGUGUGCACGAUCCGCGAGUGCUGAAGACGUUCUGCACGGGUGCGCGGCCACAAAUGGGCGGCGACCGCUUCUUCCAGUGGCAGGAGCUUCACAUAUCCUUUUUCCUCAGCGCCGUCAACAAAUAGAGCGUUAACUGUACGUACACACCGCCGCCGACUUGAGCUGCAAAGAAGCUCUGGUCGCUUUGUCAAAGACGCUUGUCAAAAAGUACGGGGAAGCUUGACGCUUUGGCCGCUCUGAAUAUUGAGUGCGCGCGCGGCCGGGGCUCUCUCUCUCUCUCUCUGCUUGUGCGCGCUGAAAAUUUCAUAUUUUGGUAUGAACAUUAACCCGCCAGUGUAGCGGAUAGCCUUUUGAGAUUUACUCGCCAAACGGAAAAUCCUCCCGCAUUUGGCGCUUGGAGGGUGUUAAUUUCGGACCCUGAGACUAUUUUUAUUGAGCAGUUUAGCUAGCCCACAUCAUAACGCACGUCAGACAACAUUUGCAACUAUAGUUGAAGUCUGUAACUUAGUCUCGGCACACAGACUGAUUAGGCAAGUACGUUUGCAGUGACAAGGCUCACCAUUUUAUUAUUUGCUUUCCUUGAUUGUCUUCCAAACUUUCACACGUGCCGACUCCGAACCUAUGCUCCGAACUCUCUCUGAACUUCUCACACGCAACUGACGUAUCAGGUGCAAGGUUUUUAGUCAAUCAACGAUCAGAGAAUACUGCAGUGAGAACGUUGUAGGGAGAUGUAACAGCUGUGGGCCUUAAACUCCUCUCCUGUCAUUAAUACGCUGUGGUCUAGUCAUCAACAGAAAAUUAACGGAUUGAGAGGGGAGAAAAAUGGAUUUUGGCGUGACAUUUCUUGCGUGUGCGUGAGAGCGUGAGAUUGAUGCUGAAAGCGUGAGUGUCACGCCAGAUGCGUGAGAGUUGGCAACCCUGCUUGUGCAAUCUAACAAUUAUGUGUGUGUGCGUGUGUGUAUGCCCCUGAGCAUAUUGUUGGGGAUUUACUAAGAAUAGAUGCGUAACGUGUCCAGCAGCUUUACUGAAGACCGGUUUAGAUGAUUUUAAAAUAUAAUAUUGUUAUAAUAAUUUCUGUAAUAUCUAUUUAAAAAAUUAAUUCCAAAACAUAAACCUGAAAAACUGCGAUGUAC